rnacentral:rRNA from 1 species
CCUACGGGCGGCAGCAGUGAGGAAUAUUGGGCAAUGGGCGCGAGCCUGAACCAGCCAAGUAGCGUGAAUGAUGACUGCCCUACGGGUUGUAAACUUCUUUUAUAAAGGAAUAAAGUGAGGCACGUGUUCCUUUUUGUAUGUCCUUUAUGAAUAAGGCUCGGCUAACUCCGUGCCAGCAGCCGCGGUAAUACGGAGGAUCCGAGCGUUAUCCGGAUUUCUUGGGUUGAAAGGGAGCGUAGAUGGGUUGUUAAGUCAGUUGUGAAAGUUUGCGGCUCAACCGUAACAGUGCAAUUGAUACUGGCAGUCUUGAGUACAGUUGAGGCAGGCGGAAUUCGUGGUGUAGCGGUGAAAUGCGUAGAUAUCACGAAGAACUCCGAUUGCGAAGGCAGCUUACUAAACUGCCACUGACAUUGAUGCUCGAAAGUGUGGGUAUCAAACAGGAUUAGAUACCCGGGUAGUC